rnacentral:rRNA from 1 species
GAUGAACGCUGGCUACAGGCUUAACACAUGCAAGUCGAGGGGAAACGACGGGGAAGCUUGCUUCCCCGGGCGUCGACCGGCGCACGGGUGAGUAACGCGUAUCCAACCUGCCUCUGACUGAGGGAUAACCCGUCGAAAGUCGGCCUAAUACCUCAUGGUAUCGUCUGCGGGCAUCCAACGACGAUUAAAGAUUUCAUCGGUCAGGGAUGGGGAUGCGUCUGAUUAGCUUGUUGGCGGGGUAACGGCCCACCAAGGCUACGAUCAGUAGGGGUUCUGAGAGGAAGGUCCCCCACAUUGGAACUGAGACACGGGCCAAACUCCUACGGGAGGCAGCAGUGAGGAAUAUUGGUCAAUGGGCGAGAGCCUGAACCAGCCAAGUAGCGUGCAGGAAGACGGCCCUAUGGGUUGUAAACUGCUUUUAUGCGGGGAUAAAGUGAGGGACGGGUCCCUCAUUGCAGGUACCGCAUGAAUAAGGACCGGCUAAUUCCGUG